rnacentral:rRNA from 1 species
GACGAACGCUGGCGGCGUGCCUAAUACAUGCAAGUAGAACGCAGUUGCGGACGGGUGAGUAACGCGUGGGUAACUGCCUCAUAGCGGGGGAUACCUCUUGGAACCGUUAGAAAAUACCCCAUAUUGUACCAUGGGCCUGUGUUGUAUUGGGUAGUUGGGUAGGAAAAGGCUCACCAAGGCGACGAUACAUAGCCGACCUGAGAGGGUGAUCGGCCACACUGGGACUGAGACACGGCCCAGACUCCUACGGGAGGCAGCAGUAGGGAAUCUUCGGCAAUGGAGGGAAGGCUGACCGAGCAACGCCGCGGGAGUGAAGAAGGGUUUCGGAGCGUAAAGCUCUGUUGUUAGAGAAGCGGUACCUAACCAGAAAGGGACGGCUAACUACGUGCCAGCAGCCGCGGUAAUUC